rnacentral:rRNA from 1 species
GUUAAAAAGCUCGUAGUUGGAUUUCUGUUAGGGUGAGGCGGCCGGCCACUCGUGGUUGUAGCUUGUUAUCACCUUGGCAUCUUGUCACAAUCCGUGAUGGCAUUAACUUGUUGUCGCUGGGGACUGACUCGUUUACUUUGAGAAAAUUAGAGUGUUCAAAGCAGGCUAUCGCCUUGAAUAUAUUAGCAUGGAAUAAUAAUAUAGGACUUUGGUUCUAUUUUGUUGGUUGUUCGAGAACCGAAGUAAUGAUUGAUAGGGACAGUUGGGGGCGUCAGUAUUCUGAAGCGAGAGGUGAAAUUCUUGGACCUUCGGAAGACUAACAACUGCGAAAGCAUUCGCCUAGGAUGUUCUCUUUAAUCAAGAACGAAAGUUGGGGGAUCGAAGACGAUCAGAUACCGUCGUAGUCUCAACUAUAAACUAUGCCGACUAGGGAUUGGAGGACGUAUAUUUAU